CACAUUGGUACUGAGACACGGACCAAACUCCUACGGGAGGCAGCAGUGAGGAAUAUUGGUCAAUGGACGGAAGUCUGAACCAGCCAUGCCGCGUGCAGGAAGACGGCUCUAUGAGUUGUAAACUGCUUUUGUACGAGGGUAAACGCAGAUACGUGUAUCUGCCUGAAAGUAUCGUACGAAUAAGGAUCGGCUAACUCCGUGCCAGCAGCCGCGGUAAUACGGAGGAUCCAAGCGUUAUCCGGAUUUAUUGGGUUUAAAGGGUGCGUAGGCGGUUUAGUAAGUCAGCGGUGAAAUUUUGGUGCUUAACACCAAACGUGCCGUUGAUACUGCUGGGCUAGAGAGUAGUUGCGGUAGGCGGAAUGUAUGGUGUAGCGGUGAAAUGCUUAGAGAUCAUACAGAACACCGAUUGCGAAGGCAGCUUACCAAACUAUAUCUGACGUUGAGGCACGAAAGCGUGGGGAGCAAACAGGAUUAGAUACCCUGGUAGUCCACGCAGUAAACGAUGAUAGCUCGUUGUCGGCGAUACACAGUCGGUGACUAAGAGAAAUCGAUAAGCUAUCCACCUGGGGAGUACGUUCGCAAGAAUGAAACUCAAAGGAAUUGACGGGGGCCCGCACAAGCGGAGGAACAUGUGGUUUAAUUCGAUGAUACGCGAGGAACCUUACCCGGGCUUGAAAGUUACUGACGAUUCUGGAAACAGGAUUUCCCUUCGGGGCAGGAAACUAGGUGCUGCAUGGUUGUCGUCAGCUCGUGCCGUGAGGUGUCGGGUUAAGUCCCAUAACGAGCGCAACCCCUACUGAUAGUUGCCAUCAGAGCGUUUGAGCGAUCAAACAAGCUGGGCACUCUAUCGGGACUGCCGGUGUAAGCCGAGAGGAAGGUGGGGAUGACGUCAAAUCAGCACGGCCCUUACGUCCGGGGCGACACACGUGUUACAAUGGUAGGUACAGAGGGCAGCCACCCAGUGAUGGGGAGCGAAUCUCGAAAGCCUAUCUCAGUUCGGAUUGGAGGCUGAAACUCGCCUCCAUGAAGUUGGAUUCGCUAGUAAUCGCGCAUCAGCCAUGGCGCGGUGAAUACGUUCCCGGGCCUUGUACACACCGCCCGUCAAGCCAUGGGAGUUGGGGGUGCC
rnacentral:rRNA from 1 species